UAACACAUGCAAGUCGAACGAUGAUAGAGAGCUUGCUUUCUUGAUUAGUGGCGCACGGGUGAGUAAUGCAUAGAUAAUGUGCCCUUAGUUCGGGAUAGCCACUGGAAACGGUGAUUAAUACCGGAUACUCCUUCUUGUUAUAAGACAAGUCGGGAAAGUUUUUCGCUAAGGGAUCAGUCUAUGUUCCAUCAGCUUGUUGGUGAGGUAAUGGCUCACCAAGGCUAUGACGGAUAUCUGGUUUGAGAGGAUGAUCAGACACACUGGAACUGAGACACGGUCCAGACUCCUACGGGAGGCAGCAGUGAGGAAUAUUGCACAAUGGAGGAAACUCUGAUGCAGCAACGCCGCGUGGAGGAUGACGCAUUUCGGUGUGUAAACUCCUUUUAUUAGGGAAGAUAAUGACGGUACCUAAUGAAUAAGCACCGGCUAACUCCGUGCCAGCAGCCGUGGUAAUACGGAGGGUGCAAGCGUUACUCGGAAUCACUGGGCGUAAAGGGUGCGUAGGCUGGCUUUUAAGUCAGAUGUGAAAUCCAAUGGCUCAACCAUUGAACUGCAUUUGAAACUGAAAGCCUAGAGUUCAGAAGGGGCAGAUGGAAUUAGUGGUGUAGGGGUAAAAUCCGUAGAUAUCACUAGGAAUAUCAAAAGCGAAGGCGAUCUGCUGGGAUGAUACUGACGCUGA
rnacentral:rRNA from 1 species